CCUACGGGCGACAGCAGUGAGGAAUAUUGGUCAAUGGACGCAAGUCUGAACCAGCCAUGCCGCGUGCAGGAAGACGGCUCUAUGGGUUGUAAACUGCUUUUGUACGAGGGUAAACUCCGGUACGCGUGUCUGUCUGAAAGUAUCGUACGAAUAAGGAUCGGCUAACUCCGUGCCAGCAGCCGCGGUAAUACGGAGGAUUCAAGCGUUAUCCGGAUUUAUUGGGGUUAAAGGGUGCGUAGGCGGUCGGAUAAGUUAGAGGUGAAAUCCCGAGGCUCAACUUCGGAAUUGCCUCUGAAACUGUUCGGCUAGAGAGUAGUUGCGGUAGGCGGAAUGUAUGGUGUAGCGGUGAAAUGCUUAGAGAUCACACAGAACACCGAUUGCGAAGGCAGCAUACCAAGGCACGUCUGACGUUGAGGCACGAAAGCGUGGGGAGCAAACAGGAUUAGAUACCCCGGUAGUC
rnacentral:rRNA from 1 species